AUCAAGUAACAUUGUACCAUUGCUCUAACAAUUUCUGCAACAACAUGUUACAUGUCUUAAAUAAUACUGAGGGAGCACUUUGUUAUUUGAUAUUGGAAAACUUAUAGACCCUUUUUUGUUUUAGCAUUUCGAGUCUUUUUCUUUGUAUCUUUUGGAAAGAAAUAUGAAGUAUGGCACCUCCCUUCGUUUCAAAACUUGUGGCUAGUUAAUUUAGGGUAAAUUUAUUUUAUUUUAGAUCACCUCCAUAUUGUGUCAUGUCAUUUUGUUCUUCCACCUCAUGUUGCAUUGCAUUUUCAUGUUGUCUUUAUCAAAACCUUUUUCCAGCUAAGUCUUCCUAUCAACCCCGCCAAAAACUAGAGCCAAAAGAGGUAGAGUUAACUUGUGUUGAUCGGCUUGCUGCACCAUUCAAAUCAGCCUGAGUUGUUUUUGCCUCUGUUCUAACUACACCCUUACCCAGAG
rnacentral:lncRNA from 1 species